CGCCAUCAUUUGUGAACUCGCACUGAAGAACCCCGAGAUUGUGGCCCAGCGGGGAGGUUUGAGCACCAUCCUGAAGAACGUCAUUGACUGUCAGCUGAGCCGCAUCAACGAGGCCCUGAUCACCACCAUACUGCACCUGCUCAAUCACCCACACACGCCAGUACAUACGUGCUGAUGUUGAACUGGAGCAAAUUCUUGCACCUUACACAGAUUUUCACUACAGACACAGCCCUGACACAGCAGAGGCACAAAUCAAGGAGGACAGAGAAGCUCGUUUUUUAGCCAGUAAAAUGGCUAUCAUUGCAGCCUUCCGCUCGUGGUCAGGUAUUAUUAACCUGUGUAAAUCAGGGAACUCAGGAGUCCAGUCUUUGAUAGGCCUGCUUUGUAUACCAAACAUGGAAGUCAGGAAAGCCUUAUUAGAGGUCAUGUAUGAGAUCUUCAGGUUGCCUGUUCCUAUAGUGACAGGAGAUUUUGAG